GGUCAGGGUCUCAGAUUCACAGUGUAUUUUCUAUAUUAGCAGGUCAGGGUCUCAGAUUCACAGUGUAUUUUCUAUAUUAGCAGGUCAGGGUCUCAGAUUCACAGUGUAUUUUCUAUAUUAGCAGGUCAGGGUCUCAGAUUCACAGUGUAUUUUCUAUAUUAGCAGGUCAGGGUCUCAGAUUCACAGUGUAUUUUCUAUAUUAGCAGGUCAGGGUCUCAGAUUCACAGUGUAUUUUCUAUAUUAGCAGGUUAGGGUCAGGGUCUCAGAUUCACAGUGUAUUUUCUAUAUUAGCGGGUCAGGGUCUCAGAUUCACAGUGUAUUUUCUAUAUUAGCGGGUCAGGGUCUCAGAUUCACAGUGUAUUUUCUAUAUUAGCGGGUCAGGGUCUCAGAUUCACAGUGUAUUUUCUAUAUUAGCGGGUCAGGGUCUCAGAUUCACAGUGUAUUUUCUAUAUUAGCGGGUCAGGGUCUCAGAUUCACAGUGUAUUUUCUAUAUUAGCGGGUCAGGGUCUCAGAUUCACAGUGUAUUUUCUAUAUUAGCGGGUCAGGGUCUCAGAUUCACAGUGUAUUUUCUAUAUUAGCAGGUCAGGGUCUCAGAUUCACAGUGUAUUUUCUAUAUUAGCGGGUCAGGGUGUCAGAUUCACAGUGUAUUUUCUAUAUUAGCGGGUCAGGGUGUCAGAUUCACAGUGUAUUUUCUAUAUUAGCGGGUCAGGGUGUCAGAUUCACAGUGUAUUUUCUAUUUUAGCGGGUCAGGGUCUCAGAUUCACAGUGUAUUUUCUAUUUUAGCGGGUCAGGGUCUCAGAUUCACAGUGUA